AACGAACGCUGGCGGCACGUUUUAAGCAUGCAAGUCGAAUGGCAGCAGGGGCAACUCUGUGAGAAUGGCGAACGGGUGAGUAACACGUAGGUGAUCUGCCUUGAGGAUGGGGAUAGCCUGUGGAAACACAGGGUAAUACCGAAUGAGCUGACGAGACUUUGGUUUUGUAAGUAAAGGUGCUACGGCACCGCCUUGAGAGGCGCCUGCGGCUGAUUAGCUAGGUGGUGGGGUAAGAGCUUACCAAGGCGACGAUCAGUAGCCGGCCUGAGAGGGUGUACGGCCACACUGGAACUGAGACACGGUCCAGACUCCUACGGGAGGCAGCAGCUAAGAAUCUUCCGCAAUGGGCGAAAGCCUGACGGAGCGAUGCCGCGUGAUCGAUGAAGGUCGAGAGAUUGUAAAGAUCUUUUCUACAUGAGGAAUAAGUCUGGGAGGGAAUGCCCGGAUGAUGACGUUAGUGUAGGAAUAAGCCCCGGCUAAUUACGUGCCAGCCGCCGCCGUAA
rnacentral:rRNA from 1 species